rnacentral:rRNA from 1 species
UAGCGGAACUCCUACGGGAGGCAGCAGUGGGGAAUAUUGCACAAUGGGCGAAAGCCUGAUGCAGCAACGCCGCGUGAGGGAAGACGGUUUUCGGAUUGUAAACCUCUGUUUUCGGUGACGAACAAAUGACGGUAACCGAGUAGGAAGCCACGGCUAACUACGUGCCAGCAGCCGCGGUAAUACGUAGGUGGCAAGCGUUAUCCGGAAUUACUGGGUGUAAAGGGAGCGCAGGCGGGAUAGCAAGUCAGCUGUGAAAACUAUGGGCUCAACCCAUAAACUGCAGUUGAAACUGUUAUUCUUGAGUGGAGUAGAGGCAAGCGGAAUUCCGAGUGUAGCGGUGAAAUGCGUAGAUAUUCGGAGGAACACCAGUGGCGAAGGCGGCUUGCUGGGCUCUAACUGACGCUGAGGCUCGAAAGUGUGGGGAGCAAACAGGAUUAGAUACCCUAGUAGUCCACUUAUG